AGGACGAACGCUGGCGGCGUGCUUAACACAUGCAAGUCGAGCGGAAAGGCCCUUCGGGGUACUCGAGCGGCGAACGGGUGAGUAACACGUGAGUAAUCUGCCCCUAGCUCUGGGAUAGCUCCGGGAAACCGGGAUUAAUACCGGAUACGACCACUUUAGACAUCUGUUGUGGUGGAAAGAAUUUUGGCUAGGGAUGAGCUCGCGGCCUAUCAGCUUGUUGGUGGGGUAAUGGCCUACCAAGGCGACGACGGGUAGCCGGCCUGAGAGGGCGACCGGCCACACUGGGACUGAGACACGGCCCAGACUCCUACGGGAGGCAGCAGUGGGGAAUAUUGCGCAAUGGGCGAAAGCCUGACGCAGCGACGCCGCGUGGGGAUGAAGGCCUUCGGGUUGUAACCCUUUCAGCAGGGACGAAGCGAAGUGACGGUACUGCAGAGAAGCGCGGCUACUACGCGCCAGCAGCCGC
rnacentral:rRNA from 1 species